rnacentral:rRNA from 1 species
AUUGAACGCUGGCGGCGUGCCUAAUACAUGCAAGUCGAACGCAGUGGGGACGGGUGAGUAACCCGUGGGUAACCUCCCAUCAGAGGGGAUAACACUUGGCAACAGGUGCUAAACCGAUACUGAUGGAUGGUCCCGCGGUGCAUUAGCUAGUUGGUGAGGUAACGGCUCACCAAGGCCACGAUGCGUAGCCGGCCUGAGAGGAUGAUCAGCCACACUGGGACUGAGACACGGCCCAGACUCCUACGGGAGGCAGCAGUAGGGAAUCUUCGGCAAUGGGCGAAAGUCUGACCGAGCAACGCCGCGUGAGUGAAGAAGGUUUUCGGAUCGUAAAGCUCUGUUGGUAGGGAGGCGGUAUCUAACCAGAAAGCCACGGCUAACUACGUGCCAGCAGCCGCGGUAAUAC